rnacentral:rRNA from 1 species
CCUACGGGGGGCAGCAGUGGGGAAUAUUGCACAAUGGGCGAAAGCCUGAUGCAGCAACGCCGCGUGAGCGAUGAAGGCCUUCGGGUCGUAAAGCUCUGUCCUCAAGGAAGAUAAUGACGGUACUUGAGGAGGAAGCCCCGGCUAACUACGUGCCAGCAGCCGCGGUAAUACGUAGGGGGCUAGCGUUAUCCGGAAUUACUGGGCGUAAAGGGUGCGUAGGUGGUUUCUUAAGUCAGAGGUGAAAGGCUACGGCUCAACCGUAGUAAGCCUUUGAAACUGGGAAACUUGAGUGCAGGAGAGGGGAGUGGAAUUCGUAGUGUAGCGGUGAAAUGCGUAGAUAUUAGGAGGAACACCAGUGGCGAAGGCGGUCUGCUGGACAGCAACUGACGCUGAGGCGCGAAAGCGUGGGGAGCAAACAGGAUUAGAUACCCGAGUAGUC